GACGUAGGGUGCAAGCGUUGUCCGGAUUUACUGGGCGUAAAGGGCGCGUAGGCGGCCACCGCAAGUCGAUUGUGAAAUCUCCGGGCUUAACCCGGAAAGGUCAACCGAUACUGCGGGGCUAGAGUGCAGAAGGGGCAACUGGAAUUCUCGGUGUAGCGGUGAAAUGCGUAGAUAUCGAGAGGAACACCUGCGGCGAAGGCGGGUUGCUGGGCUGACACUGACGCUGAGGCGCGAAAGCUAGGGGAGCGAACGGG
rnacentral:rRNA from 1 species